rnacentral:lncRNA from 1 species
UCAUGGUCAUUAACAUCAUUACUCAUUAAAUACUCUGUACAUAAUGGGGAUUCACACACCUCUAGGUCAAGCACUACUAUAAUCCUCAAUACAUCAUCAUUACAUAUCAUAAUUGUAUAAGACAUUACAUUACAAUUUAAUCAUGUCCACUGCUAGCUAUUACAUAACCAUGACUUUACUCUAUCCGACUUCCUGCUCUAUCCUGUACCUGCAACUCUGGGGAUAAAGGGAGUGGGGUGAGCUACUAGAGCCCAGUGAGCAGAAUAAUAAAACAUCAAUUUAAAUCAUGCUUUCAUGUAUGCGCCAUAACACAAACAUUUCACAACAAGGAUGAACUUGUCACCAUUUAGCCCCUAUCUUUCUUACUUAUACAUGCCGGGGGCGUAGAGCCGUAGCAGGCACACCCGGACUUCCAUAAUCCGUCAUAGUGCCAGGGGCGUAGAGCCGUAGCAGGCACACCUGGACUCACAUAGGCUAUCAUGACAUACAAGGGCUAAUGGAUCAUUCAACAUUCAUCCGCAUCAACAACAACAAAGUAUGCAAUGCGACAUAUUCGUGAAUUCUAAUGCAAAUAUCCUAAUAUAUCUCAUGGCAUUCAUGAUGCGUGAAUCAUGCUAAAACAUUUCAUUAAUUUGCUUUAAAACUUAAAGUUUAUUCCACUCACCUCUGGCUAGCUCUGAAGAGACUCUGAAGCAGCUGGCUCACUGCUGGGGGUCUCGGUUCCUCGGGUCCGAACCUACACAGGUGGACUCAAAUGAGGGACCAAACAUACAUGAAUAUGACUCUAAAAUACUCCCCAAAAACCCCCUAAAACAUCCUGAAAACAUCACAUGAAAACAUGCAAGAAAUGGCUGAACAGGGCACCUUCGGCGGCAGGUUCGGCGGCCGAAAGUCCCUCUGCAACCGAAAGUCAUGCAGGUUCGGCGGCACUUUCGGCGGCCGAACCUCCCAGACAGAGACGAAACUUGAGUUUCGGGGGCAGGCUUCGGCAGCCGAAACUGUCUCCACAAGGGGGUUCGGCGGCCGAAAGUCACUUCGGCGGCCGAACCUGAGUUUCUGCCGAAGGGCAGAAACUUGGCUCCCUUGUGUCCACAGCCUCCAAAACGCCUCAAAACAUGCAUAAGCUUGUUUCUACACAUGCAUACACAUCAUACGUCACACCUAGGGGUCUCAAACUAUAAUAUACCCCAACUACAACACUUCAAACAACACAUUUUCAACAUACAUUGUUCAAAUCACAACAUAAACCUAACAACAAGCCUAGACAUGCAUUCUACCCCAUCAACUUGCAUAAAACUUUCAUAAAACAUAAAAGAAGCAUAGAUCGAAGCUUACCUCUUGAAGAUCGAGAGGAAGAACGACCCUAGCUCGGAAAAUGGAGGGAUUUAGCUCCAAGAUUUCCAAGCUCCAAACUUGCUUAAAAACACUCAAAAACUUUUGUGGAACCUUAAAACUCAAAGAAAAUGGUGGGGAUUGAAGGAAAAACACAAGAUUUGGGAGAGGGAGGUCGGAAGUUUGCUGCGGCUGAAAAUGGGAGAAAACUCUCCCAUUUCGGCUAAAUGCCCCUUUUAUAAGUGGCUGGCCAGGCCACGUUCGGGGGCCGAAAGUGCCUCCGCACGCAUGCAAGGUUCGGCGGCCGAACUUGGAGUUCGGCGGCCGAACCUGCAUUUCCCUCACUCAAAAUUUUCGGGCGCCUAAAGUCCCUCCGAAAGCAUGCAUGUUCGGCGGCCGAACCUCGGAGUUCGGCGGCCGAACCUGGGUUUUCCUCCAAAGAUUUUUCAUGCAAAAACUCAUUUAAUUUCUUACUUAAAAACAUGAAAUACAUGAAAACAUUUCAUAAAAUCAUAGUUUUACCCUUCUAGAGGUUUCCGACAUCCGAGGUCCCACCGGACGGUAGGGAUUCCGAUACCGGAGUCUAGCCGGGUAUUACAUUCUGUUUCCACACUCUUAGUUCAGCAUCAGGACGACCAAACCUCAACUCAGAUUUAUUGCGAGCACGUACGUUUUGUCCUCAUGAACUAUUGUGCAUUUGAUAGCGACAUUAAAAUAAUGAAAUAAAUCCACAUUUAUCUGUAGUAAGGUUAUAUUUUAUUGCAAGAUUUCUAAAUUAGAAUUCAUUUGCUUUUAUUCAUGCACUUUUCUAUUUUUAAUUAAAUGCAAACUUUAUGUUAAAAGAAUAGAAGAAGAAGAAGAGGACGUUCACACUCACACUCACACUCACACUCACACAUAAUAUUAAGAACCAAAAAAAACGUAAGUACUCUCCAACUCCCCAUUUAUCAUUCACAUCUAAGGAGUGAAUCCACGCCUCGAUGGAUACACAAGCGCCUAGCAUUUUCAAGCACUGCAAUCUCCAUACCAAUUAGCAAGAAGAAAGCAACACUGCUUUCAAAUACAACAAAUGAGUUUCCUUCGGAUUAUUAAGCUCCAAAAAUAAGUUUUUGAAGUUUCGAAAUCUCUAACACUGGAAAGAACGAAUUGCUUUAGAAGAUAACAGCUAAGUUGCCCCUUGAUUAAAAAAGAUGAACCAUCAUCUUUCCAUUCCAUUCAAUGAAUAACGAGUAUUGACCAAACGAAAUAGGCCUUCCCCUGGAAGGCAUUAUUCAAUGAACCACUUGAUUCACCUGUUAGCUCAGGCAGUUGAAGUUUUCAGGGUAGAUACCACCCUAAAUCAUCACGCACGCAGAGCUACCUACUUGCACCACAUGGUAAAGUAUGCUAUUCUUUCACUUCACUGCAAAUAAAACUGCAGGGAUCAAACCCUAGCUAGGCCAUCAAUCCUUAACAGAUAAUGCAUGGACACACCAACUCAUUAUCAGAGUACAGCUAUGGGAGCUACUGCAAGUAACGGUUAUUUCAAGUCUAAUCAUGGAUGUUAAGACAUAUAUAAGUAUAAACAUACAAGAAAACAAUGGCAUUUGCAAAUUAAGAUGGCAACAAAGUCCAACAGUCAGAAUAAUCCGGCUAGAUGCGUACAGUGUCAGGCCAGAAAUAAUCAUCAGAAUCUUUCAUAAAGUGAGCGGAAUUAUUACCAUCUUUCACGUGUUUCGUGUCGAUGGUGUUUAUCAUGCUUUUGUGCAACUUUCAGCAUAUGCACACUAUGGCAGAGGACAUUCCAAGAGAAUCAGUCAUAAGUUGCUGACUUUGGAUGCAUCAAUUUCACCUGGAUAUUGAUCAAGAAAGCUAUCCAAGAUCCAAGGAUGAUUCAGUAUUCGCAAUUCAAAAGCAGUUCAAUUAUGAAAUCAGUAGAAAGCUCAUUUCAACGAUAUGACAAUGUUUCGACAAGCUGAGUCAGAAGCCUAGCAUGCCAACUAUCCAGUUUAAUUUCAAAUAGUAAAAUGCCAGACUCGACAGUCUAAACUCAUCACAAUACAAAUAUCUCAUAUCAACAGGAAUUUGAUACAGAUGCUCAUGCAGCCCCUGCAAAUUGUAACUUCACUCAAAAUAUAACAUUUUACAUCCACACCCAGAAGGUGCCACGGUGCAUUAUCGAAAAAAAGAACAGAAUGACAUAUUAAACUGCAAUCGCAUGCCAGUAUUGAACUGCACCAUAUCAAAGAACCACCCGCAAAAUUUAAUAGACUAGAACAUAACCAUGCCACCAUUUCAGAUGCUGCGGAACUUGCAAUAAACAACAACAAAAUAAACAGCAGUA